ensembl:lncRNA
GUAGAAGUGGGGAGCCCAGUGAAUAAGGGCAUUUAAGGACCCAUGGGAUUGACUGGAGGAACACGAAGGAUUUGUGCCCGAAGCUGGUGCCGCAGGUGGCCUGAGCUGCUGCUGGAGCAGGGCCCUGCCAGCCCAGGCCUUUCUGUCCACCCCUCCUCUGAAGACCGUCCUCUCCCAGCCCACGGCCCUGGGUUUGGGGCUGGCAGACAAGCCAGAGCUCACAGAGGGCCCCUUUGGCAACAUCCAUUUGGGAACCCUGAAUAAAUUCUUCAGGAAGAAGAAAACCAUCUUUCCAAGAGGUGGCAGGUUUAGAAGCAUGGGCUAUUGGAGAUGAGGAUGAAAAGCCUUGACAAGAAUUUUACUUGAAUUUCAAACUCCUUGGAAGAAUGACCUAAAACAUUUUUGGGUUAUGUAUGUAUUAUCUUUUUAAGGUCUGAUGCAGAACAAGAAUUGAUGAUGUAAUUGCAUCGCUCUGUCCCCCAGCCCAGCGUUUGGCCUUUGGUGCUGCCCCCUGGCAUGGGGGUAUUUCCCAUUCCACCUCCUGGGAGGACGAACAUCCUCACAGGGGCAUCCGAGAGUCCAGAGCCCCUGGCCUGGGACAGCAAGGCACAGGACAAGCGAGCCUGCAGGCCUUCCCAGGUCCUGUACCUCUGUGGUCACCCUGCCAUCUGAGUGUAAUGGGUCUCAGUCUCGGGGAGCUUAGGCCAGUCCUUCCCACUGUGGGUUGAGUCCAGGACUGGAGGAGAAGACAAUACAAUCAGGUCGAUACUUGUCGGGGUGUGGCUGUGGCUGAGGGCAGAAUCAGUGCCCCAUCAGCCUGGGUCUACAACGUGAACUUCUUUUAUCUUCAGAAGAGCACAAAACUGAUCACCUAAAAUAACAAAGUUAGACAAGAUUUCUAAUGGUUUGCUUGUUUCAUCAUGAGAGGAUGUGACUUAGGCUGUCCUAUUUUCCAGGUGUAUGUGUUGUGAAAUCGAGUGACAGUGAACAGUGCAAGUUACCACUGAGUGUGAACGAUCUCUGUGUUAAAGAGUGUGCACUGAGCAAGCCUUCCUGCUCAGCUGGGCCGCAGUAAGGCUGCUGAUGCUUUUCUUCUUCCUUGAAUUACCACCGAGAGGAAUUUUUUCCCGGGAGGAUUUCUUUCCAGAUUUAGGUAAGAAGGUGGUCACUGUCCGUGUCUUUCAGUGGAUCCCUGAAGUGCCCCGGAGGUGGCUGAGCUGAGCCGGCAGGGCCGCGGCUGUACCGUGCCAUCUCUGUGUGGUGGACGCGGAGCUGAGGGCUGCAGAGAAGAUGCCUCUGAAAACCAAGCAAGAGAGCUCUUCCUGCCAGUGCCGCCUCUGCCUCUCCUCUGCCAGAGGUGCACGCAGCUUGUCACUGUCCUCGCUGCCGGCCACCGGGAGGACACGUCAUCUCCCC